rnacentral:rRNA from 1 species
UACGAAGGGUGCAAACGUUGCUCGGAAUUAUUGGGCGUAAAGCGCACGUAGGCGGCUUUGUAAGUUGGAUGUGAAAUCCCUCGGCUCAACCAAGGAAGUGCAUCCAAAACUGCGGAGCUUGAGUACUUAAGAGGAUCGCGGAAUUCCCGGUGUAGAGGUGAAAUUCGUAGAUAUCGGGAGGAACGCCAGUGGCGAAGGCGGCGAUCUGGGAAGAUACUGACGCUGAGGAGCGAAAGCGUGGGGAGCGAACAGG